ACUACACACAGGACCUCACUUUCACAAAGCAAAAGCCCAGUCUGCAACCAGAUGUUCAUGUUGUCAUUCUAAGAUGAGCAGGUAGUGAAGGCCGUGGUGAGCGUCUACCCAGCAGCAUCCACAGUCCACCUGGAGGGGAAGAGCUCCCUGCUGUGUCUGGCCUCAGCCAUGUUUCCUCCUCUGGUCCGCUUCUCCUGGAAAAGACAGAAGGAGGACGAGCGGCUGGAGGAUGUGGACCCUGCUGAGGGAGAGCAGCUGGAGAUCAGAGAGCCGGGACGCAGCGCCUCCAUCUGGCUGAUCCAUCAGCAACAGGACGGCACAUAUAAAUACAGCUGCUACGUCCAGCACGAGGGAGGAACAGUGGAGGCCCAGACACAACAAGCAGCCUCCUGUCCUCCAGAGAGAGAACCAGCAGACCUGCCAGCUCUGCAGCAAGCUCACUUGUCCUUCCAGUCUCAGUCUCAGGUGAAGCUGCUCUGUCUGCUGUCCACAGUGCUGAUAGUGAAGAGUCUGGUGUUCUGCUGUGGAAUCUCUCUGAUGAUGAUCCUCACAAACAAGGGACCGUCCACCAACUGCACACAUGCUGACUGACUGUUUGCUGCUGGACUUUUCUCACCGUCACAUCUCAUCCAAACAUAUCUUAUUGAUUUGAUCAGUGACCAGAAAUGUCAGCUGUGACUUGCUGUCUUUGGAUGUAAUGUGGAGUUAGAUAUAGAUGUUAUUAAGUUAUUCCAAACCUUUUAAUUGUUGCGUCCACAUAAUACAAAAUAUUGCUGCCUUAUAUACAUUUUAGCAUGUUUUUUCUUGUUUUUCUUUUCAUAAUCACAGUGUUGCAAUUUCUUCAUGUUUACUGAGUGCAGUAUUUUCAAU
ensembl:lncRNA